AUGGAGAGGGGCUGGUCCCUGCCGUUGUUGGCGCCCCGCCAGCCCCAGAAGGCGACGCGCUUCCCCGGCGGCAGCGGGUUGUGGCCCCAGUCGGCGACGCUCUCGGAGACGACGGAGACGGAGACGCUGGAGUCGAGGCUGGCGGUGGAGCCGUUGGCCCGCAGCGUGGCCGUGGAGGACUCGAGCGACCGCGUCCGCGUCCGCGCCACCACGCUGGCCCGCCGCCGGUACAUCCAUAUGGCGAGGAACACGCACGCCGCCGCGAGCACCGCCGCGCCCACGCCCGCGGCGACCACGACGGCCACGACCUUCGCCCUAUCCGCCAUUCCCGUGCGUUCGCGCGGGGGCCAAGACCAUGCCGCGCGAACCGACCCCCGGUGCAGGCGCGGAGCGGCGACCGCGUCGGCGCGCGCUCUCCAGGCUCCUCCCGCUCCUCCUCCUCCUCCUGCCACGGAGCAGCAAAGCAACACGCGUCAGGAAUCAAUCCCGCACCCAAAAUUCUCGCGGCGCCACGUACGGACGCGUCAAGGCGCGUCACGCGCCAGGGGGUCGGAAGCGCCCCCGCGCCGGAAUUCCGGGGCCAUGAAGGCGGCCCCGCGUCGGAAUUCGGUGAUCGGGCCGCCCGGAAUAAAGGCGAUCUGUCCAAAAAGCCGGGCGGGAGGCGUGCGUCGUACCUCAGCGCCUUGCGCGCGAAGCUUCCGGCCUGCCUGCCCCCGCGCGCGCUUCGAGGCACGGGGAGGAUCGGCGGAGACGACGACGACGACGCGCGCGAGCGAGCGAGAGAGAGGUCUCCUCCUUCCCUCCUUCCUUCCUUCCUUCCCGUGCUCCGGCCGUUGCUUUCGCCGCGCGGGUUUGGUUUGGGAGAGGGAGGAGGAAUUCAGAGCCGGUGGGCGCGUGGAAAAGGCGGCUGCGCGUUUUGGAGGUGGACGCAGUCCAAGCGCUUCAUCACAGGACAAGACUGGGAGUAAUCAAUGCCUGCAUGAAGAUGGAGGGGGAGCAGUUGGUGGUUUGAUGGGAGCCGCCGGUCAUGUGCGAAUGGAUCCCGUAGGAGACACCGUCUCGUCGUGA
rnacentral:rRNA from 1 species